rnacentral:ncRNA from 1 species
ACAUCUGCAAUGAAGGGAACCAGUAAAUAGGGUGACGUGUAUAGAGAACUUCUGUGUGGUGAAAAGAAGGGACUAGCCUUAUUGAACACAUCCUGGAGCAGGAAACCAGGGAAUGGGUUUCCGGAAGUCCCCGAUACAGGACAGGACUGUGAUGGCAGUCCGUAAGGCAGACUUCGUGAGGAGUCUGUAAAUAAAGGUGGAACCGCGAAAUAAUGACUUUCGUCCUUUGG